rnacentral:rRNA from 1 species
GCCGAGUGGCGGACGAGCGAGUAACACGUUGGAACCUGCCCCGAACUCAGGGAUAAGCACUGGAAACGGUGUCUAAUACCGGAUAGUCCCGAAAGGGUAAAGCUUUUGCGGUUCGGGAGGGGCCUGCGGCCUAUCAGCUAGUUGGUGAGGUAAAGGCUCACCAAGGCUACGACGGGUAACUGGUCUGAGAGGAUGACCAGUCGCGAUGGGACUGAGACACGGCCCAUACUCC